UCUCCAAACAACUGUGAAUGUCAUUCUCGACAGGACCAUAUGUGAAGUGAAAAUUUCAGUGAAAAGAGAAUUGACAGUGCAGACAAACGUUAACGCGUGUGUCUUGUGUUUACAUAGGAAUAAAUUAUAUUUAAAAAUGACACUUUUGGGGACGCAACUAGAUAGUGAUAAAAGAUUAUUGCCAUUUAAAACUUAUGAAGAUUAUUUAGAUUCAUUGGUUACAUUUGUUGACCUUGGAUAUUUAGGAAAUUUACACACUGCUCGUGAAUUAGCAGAACUUGGAUAUCGUUGCACCGGUGAAACACUUAGCAAAGAUGUAUUUUAUCGGCGUUUGAAAACUUUAAGAGAUUUACUGUUUCCAGUUCAUAGACCAUAUGAACUAACAUCAGAGUUUAUAACACCAAGCAAUGCAGUAAUGCAAGAACUUGCACUUCGUGAACGUUCAAAUAGAUUAAAAGUCAUAUCCACUAUUAUUUUCAUGAGAAACUAUACAAAACUUCAAUUUGAAGUCUCUGGUUACAUUGACUUUUGUGAAAGACUUGAAAAAGAGAAUUGGAUUCCAUAUUUCCAAGGGAAGAAAAAACUAUGGCCUCAUCCAUCUGAUCUGGCAUAUUAUCAUUGGAGAACGAAUAAAACAUGCUUAAAUGAAACUUCAAACUAUCAGCCAUUCAUAGAUCCAAAACUGGGACUCAGAUUUAAAAACUGUCACGAUAGAGAAUUUAUUAACAUUGAUCCUGCAAAUCCUUCUCCAGGUAUGGAUACAACAAGAAUAAGAAUACAUUGUACAGAGUACGAACAUGUAAUAUUAUAUGACCAUAGAAUGCGAAGUAAAAGUUAUAUUUAAAUGAAAAAUGUAUACUUAAAUUUAUUUGUACUAUUGAAAAUAAAUUAGAUAAAGUGUAAUGUGAAUACUCACUUCACGAUUAAGGCGAUGAGGGUUUACUAAUUGUACAACACCAUUAGAUUUUAUUAGCAUAGCUAAAGAAUCUCCAACCCAGGCAACAUAUAAUUUUUUAUUUAAUAACAGUGUGCAAACUGCAGUAGUUCCACCGCAUACUUUCUAGAAUGCAUAUAAACGGUAUUAAGUGUUUAUCACUUGUUUAAGAAGUAUGCAGCUGCUUAUAAAUUCCUGAUACUUACUUGUGUUUUAGAUUUCUCUAUAAAUUGUGUAUCUGUAGUAAUAAAAGCAUCAUGUAAGGCACGCUCUGGAUCAGUAGGAUAGUGUCUGCUUUCUGCCAAAUACUGAUGAAGAUGUGUAGCACAAUAUACAGCUGCAUCUUGUCCGGCAUGUCCAUCAAAUACUGCAUAGUAAUUUGCUAUGGACUCAUCCUAUAAUUAAGAGAAAUAUUUACCUAAGAUAACAUUCAAUUUUUAUUUCUAUAUGGUAUAGCAAAAAAACCUUAAUACAUAUAGUUACCUCAAUACCAAAAGUAGCAUGUAAGUCAUGCAAGACUACAUAGCGAUCCUCCAUUUUUCUUCUACAAUUUCUAUUUCCACCUGCUAUUACUUGUGGCAGUGGUGUAGAAGGUGGAGGUGGUAGUAAUGCUAAUCUACUAUUGUCUAGGUAGCGAGUACAUAUUUCAUUAACUUUGCCAGUGAUGGCUUGCAUUAAUUUCAGUGAGGUAUAUGCUGUAAAAAAUUUAUAUUUAUUAUGAAAGAAUUUAUGAAACUAAGUGCAAAAAGGUAAAGUAACAUACUUUUUUCUUGUGCUUUGUAUCCACAAUCUUCUGGUUGUUUUUUACACAUGGAUUUGAUUUCUUGUAUUACUUGAUGAACCAAGUGUGCUUGCAAGCUUGGUGGACAUUGCCUACAAUAGAGUUAAAUUCCUCAAAUACAUAAAUAUGUUUCAAGGCUACAUGUAAAUUAAAAAUACUUUCUGUAUAUUAUUUAAAAUAUUAUUUAAAACAACAAACUUCAUGUUUUAAAAAUUACUGUGAAUAAAGGAAACAACAAAAUAACCAAGGCUGAAUACUCGACGACAAGAAGCAUUCGUAACAUCGAUACGACUAACGAAUUUUCAAUUUCUCUUUUCUAUAUUCAAAAUUCUAAUAAUAUAGGACGAUGGAUUUUUCAUUUCGAAAUUCUCUCAAUCAUCGCGCGUAAAAACUACCGCGUAAAAAAGAGGCUCGCAUGAAAAAAGUUCGCGUAAAUCGAGGGUCAGGUGUACUUCAAUAACGUAACGGUCACGAAAUUGUAUAGUAAAGGAAAAAAAGAAAGAACAUUCAGAACAAUAUAAUACAUAAAUUACAUACAAAUAAGACAACGAAAGAAAAAAACCGCUUUCCUAACGGUCUCCUCGAGGAAAUAAUAAUUCUAUGCAGUGUGCGCUAGUUUCCGAUAUUUAUAAGAUAG